rnacentral:RNase_P_RNA from 1 species
CUAGGAAGAAGGAUGAUCGCUUAAGAAGCUUUAAACUACUUAAGAGGAAAGUCCAGACAGCAUAGAGCAGGGUGUCCAGCAUAAGCUGGAAGCCGUAAGGCCUAGUUAGAGCAACAGUGACGAACCGGGGUCAUGCUCGGGUGAAACGUGGCAAUCCUCCCCGCUGCAAUCCUAGAACCAACAGGGCUGCUUGCCCAUUUGUUGAAGUAAGGAGCGUUAGAUAAAUGAUCAUCGAGAAACAGAAUCUGGCUUACUAACUUCCUAGGCAC